rnacentral:lncRNA from 1 species
GGAUGAGGUUGGACUUCUCAGUUUCUGUCCAGAACAAGGAUGGAGAGGCUCAGCAGCACCAACAGGAACUCCUUAUGGAAUGGAAGCACAUCCAGGCUGAAGGCCCCUGUGUUCCAGAUGCUGUGUGAGUGUUGACCUGCCAGGCGACUCCACGAUGGCUUCCGUCCUCAGGUUCACCAUCAACUAAGACAGACUGAAGAUGUAAGUAGUAAUGGAAGGACACAAAAGGUACAAGAGUCAGAGGCCAGGCCAAGAGUGCAAGCUGAGCAAUGGGCAAGGAAGGCCUCCUUGAUGGCUAGCUCCAGAACUGGGACUGCAGAAAGAGGAAUUUUCUCGAUAGAAAGGGGUGUGGGCCUUCCAGUCAGGUUCAGAUCCACAGAAGCAUGCACAUGUGGUAUGCUGGGGCACCACUGCACCACCGGGGAGGGUCAUGCUGGAAAAGAGGCUGCAGGAUCUGGGACUCACUCUAUCCUGGGGCAAUGGGGAGUUUAGGAGAGGGUGAGUCAGAUCAGCAUGAAGUUAGCCUAGAGUCAGGAAGAUGAGUUAAGAGGUCUGACAGUCUAUUGAAGUAAAAUUAUUCAUUACAGAAUAGCACCAUGUAUGUUUCUAAAAUACUUGGUGCCAUAUUUAUUCUCCUGAGGGAUUCAUCUGAGCACUUAGAAAAGAAUAACUGGGCCAUUGAGUCUUGGUUGAAAUCAUUCAUUCAUCCAACCAGUAUUCAUCAAGCAUCUCCCACAUGGCCAACGCUGGGAACCCAGUGUUGAAGUUGGAGGAGACUUCACUCACAUGCCAUGAGAAGUGCAAGGAAGAGGACCAGCUACCUGUAGAGCAUGUUACAGAGGAGUCAGGUCUGGUCUGAGGUUGGAGGUCCAGGAAGUGACUGGAGUUGAAGCUUGAAGGAGUUGGUAUUCAACAUGCAGAACUGGGAAAAAGGCAUUCCAGGCAGAGGAAGCAGCUUGUGUGAGGGCACUGGGGUGAGAGGGAGCAUGGUUCAUUUGAGAAGUUAAGAAAGCACAGAGAGGAGGAGAAUAGGGAGGGUUAGGGGAAGAGGGGGUAGGGCCUGUGCCAGGCCUGGCCCUGCCCUUUAAGGUGCCAAGUCCUUGCAAGCAUUGGAAGUUAAAACAUGAUGGCCAUUUAUUGAUGAUUUAUUGAUCUCUCUGUAUCCCCUUGGGCACUAGCGGAUUCUCGACAGAACCACAAAGUGGAGUUGGCUGCAGAUGAGUCUGUUCAUGGCCCCAGUUUCUCACCUAUUCCUGAGUCACCUUUUGCCCCUCAGACACAGAGAUGGGAUAGCGCCAGGAUGUGGGUUUGUGUUGUCUAAUUUCUUGGAGUUUGUACAGGUUUUACCUGGUACCAGCGUGACCUUCCCAUGUACCCUCUUGGUCAGCAACUUUUUACAAGGAGUUAAUCCCACUUUCUGGAACUUGCUCAUUCUCAAAGUGAGUGGUUAUUGGUCCUCAAGACAGUCCGCAGAAAUUUCAGCCCCAUGGGAAAGAAAAAAUUCCAGGUCUCUACCUGAUGCUUGGAAAGCCAGCCAUGUUAACUUAGUCAACACCAAUGCUCAUCAAAUACACACAUUUAUCUAGUGUUCCCAACCUACAUUCCCAGCCUGGGAUUCUGUGGGCCAGAGGCCCCAGUGUAGAGAUUAUAGCCUAAUGUCCCAGCAGAGAAUCACUGAUUGCAGAUAGGAAAAAUCCAGACAUUUCUGAACUCCAAGACCACAGUGAUUUAUGUGGCCUGGUGAUAAGCUAUGAUUGAUAUAUUACUCAAAGUUUCUGCUUCCCCCAACUCUGGCAAGAACUUUGGCAGAACUUCUAUGCCAUAUCCAGUACUAGGAAGUUGCCAAGUUUAUGUCCUUAAAAUAAAGUGGGUUCCAAGAUAGAUGGCAGAAAGUGGGAAAUGUGAUUUUUCUUGAUUGGGUAACUAAGAACCACACAGCAUGCGGGAGCCAUUUUGGGCCAAAGAGCUGUUCAUUUAAAGUGUUUAUUGACACCUGGAAAUAGGGUUUAAACUUCAAAUGCUAUUUUCACAUCAAGUUUAUGCUAUAUAAUUUCAUAAUGGUGAUAAAAUCCAGG